AAGACCUUGUGCUUUUGGAGCGGCCGAUGCCUGAUUAGCUAGUUGGUGGGGUAAAGGCCUACCAAGGCUUCGAUCAGUAGUUGGUCUGAGAGGACGACCAGCCACACUGGGACUGAGACACGGCCCAGACUCCUACGGGAGGCAGCAGUGGGGAAUUUUGGACAAUGGGGGCAACCCUGAUCCAGCCAUGCCGCGUGAGUGAAGAAGGCCUUCGGGUUGUAAAGCUCUUUCAGUCGGGAAGAAAAGGUUGUGACUAAUAAUUGCAAUUCAUGACGGUAUCGACAGAAGAAGCACCGGCUAACUACGUGCCAGCAGCCGCGGUAAUACGUAGGGUGCGAGCGUUAAUCGGAAUUACUGGGCGUAAAGGGUGCGCAGGCGGUCUUGUAAGUCAGAUGUGAAAWCCCCGGGCUUAACCUGGGAACU
rnacentral:rRNA from 1 species